UAAAAAUAAAUUUUCCAGAAUUUAUCUUCUCUAUUUAGGUCUCCUAAAAAUUCGAACUAGUUUCCAAAGAACCCAUAUUCCUCUAAUUUCUGUGAGUAAUCUAUCCAUAAUUUUUGAGUGCAACCAAAGAAAAUGGAAACUAGGUACAUACACCUACCUCCAGUAAAAUCAACACUAGUUAAUCUGAUCAACACAUUAAGUAUUGAAGCUACAAAAUUAGAGGAGAAAAUAAUUCCGGAAAUUCGUCCAAAAACCAAGCUCACCCAUGUCUCUGCCUACACAUCUCUCUUCCACCUAGUUUACUUCGACCUGGGCCCCCUUGUCAGUCCCUCCGGCUUGCCCUUCCUCUGUGCAACUUCCCUAGCCGACCGAGAAACACUGAGAGGGAGAGAUCGAGCGCCGACCGGCUCUGGACGCCGCGCGACGCGUGGCCACGACGUGUCGACGCCCUAAAAACGCCGAGCUCCAUUUCUGCCUCUCCCAGACGCGUCGCCACUCUUCACCCACCAUUCCAGUGCCGAUCCAUCCGAGGGAGAGCAUCCUCGCUGCUCUUCUCCACUGGUUCUCCAUCGCCGGCCACGAAGAAGACAAUGGCCGCAAUCGUUGAUGAGCCGCGCCAAUCGGCGGGAACGCUGCCGUGCACACCGGAGCUCUGGAGCGCGCUCUGCGCACCGCCGCAGCGACAUCGUCGCCGUUGCCAUCAAUCUAGAUCAAGCCGGAGCGAGCCACCACGCCACCAGCUUCACCUCAACCUCCUCUCCAUUUCCCCUCAAGAAUCUUGAAGAAUGGUGCUACGAGUGUGGAGAUCGUCCACCGUCUUCUCCACCUCCGGUCGCCGUCGCCAUUGUCGAUUCCGCCUCCUCCGGUGAGCCAUUGUCCGAUUCUUCGCGUAUACACCAUCCCUGGGACCUCACUAACCCCAUGAAAACACAUGCAUGUCAAUUCGAUGAGUGGAUCGAGCCGUUGCCGUCUUCCCGGAGCUCUACACCGUCGCCGGACCAUCUUCUUCUCCGCUGCCGCUGUCCAGACUUUCCGGCGCCUCGUUCAAGGUUCGUAGCAGCCUAAGCACAGCCGCCGCUCGGACUCGCCGCCGGCGUUACUCCGAUGUCCACUGACCAAGAAAAGAAGAGGAAUGGAAUCGCAAUAGCAUGAUCUUCAUUUUGUCUUUUGGUCGCACCCUCAAACGAGCCACCGUUUGCCGCUGGCAAGCUUGAGAUCGAGCUCAGCCAUGGCUGUUCUGCCUCUCUGCGUGAGAAAAGAAGUCAGGGACCUUGUUUCGAGAAUUUAAACAACUAUAAGGUUUAAUGUGCAACUUUUCAAUUCACUGACAUAUGAGCCUAGGUCUGCGGGUUGAUUCUUAGAAACCUCAGGGAUCUUUUUGUAUAUUGAUCUCUCACUGACAGUGGACCCCUUGGAAACAAAAUCUGGAAUUAUAAAAGAACAGUAACUAAAACUUGUAAAAUCCAUAUAAAAUUAAAUAUAGCUCAUUUUAAGAUGAUUCAAAUUUCUGUGAACUCACCAAAUUGGGAAAUUUGAUGUUAUGGAAUAAAAACUUGCACUCACAGUACAAAUUUAGCCUCUAAAAUUUAUCCAAGUUAAAUCACACAUAAAGCACGCACAAAUUUAUAAAAUGCAUACAAAAUUCAUUUCAACUCAUUUUAGAGCAAACUUAGUUUCUACAGAUCCACCAACAUGUUCUCUAAAAAUAAAUUAAAAUAAAACAUAUAAACACUUUACAUCAAAUGCCUCUAAAACUAUUAUCUUUAAAAUAACUAGUUUGGCAUAAGAUGAACUUUAGAAGUUUAUAUAAAACUCAUCUUAGAUCCUUUUUGAAUAAACCCAAGUUCUGUAUAAUCACCAAAACAUAUACUUCCAAGUUAUAAAAUAAAAUUAUAUACUUACUUAUGUAAGUAAUAACCAUCAUAGAGCAACCUUAAAAUGUAAAAUUUGUAGAAAAUUCAUCUUUAGUCUAAAUGAAGUGAACCAAAUAUCUAUAGAACCAGCAAACAGUGGGCUUCAACAUAGUAAAAUAAAAUAUGGAACCUUCUGUACAGGUUAUAGCUCUAAACUUUAAAUUUAUAGGAUAGGAGCUAAUCACAUAGUAUCGAUUGAGCAAUAUGUAUAUAUAUAAAUGUACAUAGAAAUACACUCUAGCUAUAAUGAAACCCAAAUAAAACUUGUUAGACCAGUGAAUGCAUAGUUCCAUUCCCAUCCACCAAAACUUAAGGCACUUAGCUUAUGUAAUAAUUUCUAGGUUGAUAUAAUAAAUUGCUAACAUGGACUAGAGCUCCCCUAGUUUAUAAAAUAUGAACCAUGAUAAUAAAGACCAUAAGCCUAUGAACUAAGGUUAGAUUAGUUAACUAAAAUACUCAUUUUAUACAUCACUAGCUAGAUGAGGCAAGUUCUAGACCUAAACCUCUAAAGCCAUGAACCUAUAGAACACUAUACACCUAUAACACGUUAUAAUUUGUAAAAUACAUAAAGAAUUCAUAUUAACUCUAAAAAUUAUGAAACCAAAUGUGUUAGUCUUAGAAAACACAUAUCUUCACCCCAGCAAACAUAAACUUAAUAAGAAUCACCUUAUAACAGCAUUUCACAAUAGUACCUAAGUAAAUCCUACGCUAUACCGAUGAAACUUCUAAAAUUCAUAAUUCUCAAAUGAAAUGAGAUAAAAUAGAAAUUCUUUCACCUAAAUUCAUUUUAGACCAGUACCUAUUCGCUGUGCACAAAUCAUCCAUUUUAGAGCAUUUUGGAUUUUUCGCAUAUUUCGGUGUUUAAUUGCAU